UCUAUCCAUAGGUGUCAACUCUUUUAUCCAUAUGUGUUGACACUUGUCUUUCCAGAUUUUAAUCUUUGCUCACUGUCUUCAGGUGUCAACACUUCAAGCCAGAUGCGUCGACACUUCAAUUUCGGUUUCAAGUCUGUCUUCAUGUGUCGACACUUUCAAAUCAUGUGCCAACACUUCUUUCUCCAGAGUCAGUUCUUUGGCUAUUAUCUUUAGGUGUCAACACUUAUAAAACCAUAUGUCGACGACACUUCUUACCUAGAAUGUAUUCCUUUGUUUUCUUGGCUAUUUGAACUGUGAAUCACUUUAAGGACUUUAAGUGGUCUUCUCUUUGGAUAUGUAUGAUCUUCAUUAUCUUCAAUCCAUUGAGAUUCCAUAUGUCUAAGAUUUUAUCAGAUAUAUUUAAUCCUGUUUCAAGUCUUUAAGUGUUGACACCUUAUAAAUAAGUGUCAACACUUUCUGGGCAGAAAGUGUUUGCAGUUUUCUUCGAUCAAUUAAGCUCUAAAAUAUAAUGCUUAUGGACUGCAUACUAAAUAAUCACAUUAGCCAUUAACACUGUAUUUUAUUAUUAUUAUCAAAAUCAAGGUAUUGAGUCAACAAUCUCUCCCUUUUUGAUGAUGACAAAACUUUUUAAAAUAUGAAUUAUGAACUUUUUAAACAUAUAAUAUUCGAAAGUGCAACACAUCAAUUUUAAGCAUAUACUAUGUAUUACUCCCCCUUUCUUUUAUAAUUGAUGCACUUCUCAUGUAUUCCAAGUUCAAAAUCAUAUGAUAUCUAUUUUAAGCAUUCAAAAUCAAGUGCCAUUCAACAUUCAAGCUCAAUACAUAUACUCAUAUCAGUUCAUAUUUUAACAUUUAUCUCCCCUUUUUUGUCAAACUAUCAAAAAAAAAUGUCAAUCCACUAGAUUAUAGAUAGGAACCAAUGAAAGACAAAUUAUAAUAACUUACAUGCAUGCAUGUAAUUGCAGAUUCAAUCAUUAUCCUCCCUACUGAAGUAGAUCAAUUAUCUCCCCCUAUCAACAUGCAACUUUCAACCAUAUAAAUAUAGGCCAUACCCUUACAGCAAUUAGAUAAGCAACUUAUGUUACAUGUUAUUUAGUUCAUUUAAGGCAUGAAAUUCAUAUGAAAACAACCAUGCUUUGACUCUAUUACAAUCAUCCAAGCAAAUAUGUUGUGAUCCAAGUAUAGGCAACUUUCAAUAACGAAGAUAAAAGGCCAAGACAAAGUCAUAGUAUCCACAGCCAUGCACAUCUAUAUAAACUAAGAUAUCAUCACAAUACACUAAGCAUCUCACACUGAUCAUAAUGAACUGCAAAUGAUACCAGCUAUGAAAGCCAUAGAAUCGCAUCAAAACCAUUUGAAUUGUAAAACCAACCACAGGAGCCAUGAAAACCAUAAGACUUAAAACUAAGCGUGAGUUACAAUAUCCAAAAUAUUACAAAACAAACAUCAAAUUGUUCAUGAAAUGAUCAGUGAGUAGAGGGAGGUGGUGAUGUGCGAGGUGGAUGUGCUUGUGGUGAUGAUACGUGGAUGGGAGUAGAUGGUUGUGAAGAUGAUGGCGAUGGAGUAAAUUCAAGAGCCAUUUCCGCAGUAUUCGAGAAUUUUUUUGCCCCCCUUUGAUGCAAUUUAUACUUGUGACUCGUACGAAGUAAAUGAGGAUUGUCAAAUUCUGUUUCAAACAUGUCCUCUUCUCCCUCAAUCUCAUCACUGUCACUAUCAUCUGUCUUCUUUUCUUUUCCACUCUAUUUGUCUCCCUUUUCUUCCUCUUUCUUCUCAGCUUCUUGAACUUGCUCAGCUUCUUUUUCUCCUUGUUCCUCAUUUUCCUUUUCUUCUUCACUUCUAUUUCACUUUCAUUCACUCUCUUCUUCCUCUUUCCAUUCUUCUUUUCCCAAUCUAAACAGUCUCAUUUCCUUUUUCAUUUUCUUCAUUUUUUUUAACAAAUAACAGUCGGGUGGCCACAUUGUCCACUUUAACAUGCAAUUUUUUCUUUGAUUUUGACAUUUGUACCAUAAAACCACGCAUUUCCACUUCAAAUCCCUCGAAUUCAAGUGCCAAAGAUUUCUUGUCACUUCCACUCCCAAAUGGAACCUUUUCCUUCGAGACACUCUCCUCAACAUUCUUUUUGGGUGACUUUAGAGUCCAUUUGUUAUCCUUCAAUUCAUACCCCAUUCACUUCAAAUUCUUCUCGUUAUAUUCAUCACUUAUGGCUUUGGGAACCCGUUGAUUUCAUCACUUAAGUCUACCUUGAAGUACUUGAAUUGUUGUUGUUUUUAAACACAUCCUGGUUAGGGCAAAGAUAACUAUGAAUUCGUAGCUCGAUACAUCUGAUCAUAGAUAAAACAUGGGCCAAUUGAUCAUAGCAUUCGUUAUAUAUUCAAAAGAAAAACAACUCUCUAUCAGUCACAUGCUCAUAUUUACCGGUCUUAGGAAGGAAAAUGGUACAAAUGAAAUGAUGGACCAACCUUGUUUCGAGGGUCAAUUCAUUAGCAUUAGGUUGUGCUCUCUCAAAAAUUUUUUGUCCAAGAAGGACCUUCAAUUGUUCCACUUUUUUCACGUUUUCUCUUUAAAUUUCACCUCCAAAACCCAUUCCUAAGAUUUUUCUAAUGACUGAUAUGUCCAACUCAAUUUUAACUCCUUUUACAUAGCUAUGAAUAGUGUCUUGCCCAUAAUUUCUUGAAACAUUCGCAUAAAAAUGAGCAACUAAAUUGAGAUACACAUCGUCCCAAAUAGUAGUCAAUGGCAUCUACCGAUUGUCCAUUUCUACACUAUAUUUCAAAGUUAUUGUGUGACUCAAAAAAAUCAUAAAUAUCAAUCAACCAUUUAACACUGCCUAAGAGGAAAAAAUCGCGGAUUAUACCUUCGUGACCGGUAUCCUCAGCGAAAUAGGGAAUUCCUUAUAGGGGCCCGUGCAAGAUGAUGAUGCUCACUUCUGUCUUCUUUUCUUUUCCCUUUCCCGAAUCUCCCUAGCCUUCUCUUUUGACCCUUAGUCGUGGGGAUUGUUGACACCACCGCAGCCAAAACUUUACUUCUUCGGUUUUAUAGAUUUGGGCGCCAUUCGAAAAUCGGAGAGGUUAUGAGCAACUUGCAACCAUGCCAUUUUCAACCAUAUAAAUAUAGGCCAUACCCUUACAGCAAUUAGAUAAGCAACUUAUGUUACAUGUUAUUUAGUUCAUUUAAGGCAUGAAAUUCAUAUGAAAACAACCAUGCUUUGACUCUAUUACAAUCAUCCAAGCAAAUAUGUUGUGAUCCAAGUAUAGGCAACUUUCAAUAACGAAGAUAAAAGGCCAAGACAAAGUCAUAGUAUCCACAGCCAUGCACAUCUAUAUAAACUAAGAUAUCAUCACAAUACACUAAGCAUCUCACACUGAUCAUAAUGAACUGCAAAUGAUACCAGCUAUGAAAGCCAUAGAAUCGCAUCAAAACCAUUUGAAUUGUAAUGUAGCCAAGUCUUCUAUGCCACAACCAACUUUUAUCACUAUUCAUAGCGGCAAGACAUUCGAUUUCACAAGAAGAUAAAUCAUUUAGAUUAAACAUGUAAAUGUUACCUUAUCUAUGUCCAAUGAGAAUUGUUUUGUUAUUAUUGAUGUCUACUAGGAUUCAUAUAUAACUUUGCAUUAUUUAUCACAAAGUUGACUAAUGCUCAAAAGAUUGUAUUUGAAUCUUUAACAGUAAUAUAUUUUCAAUUGAGGUAGAGGAAUUCUUACCAAUACUACCUAUUCCGAUGAUCUUUCGUUAGCCAUUGUCAUUGCUGCUCUUGGAAAAAAUUUUAUGUCAAACUUUUUGAGCUCGACAACUUAUUUGGAUAGUCGGUCGAACAAGUCCGCUUUCAUCAACAUGUUUUUUAGCGAAAACUCGGUGUACAUGCGAUUGAAUAUGCUUGAAAAUAGUGUGUGAGUUUUCACAUAGUAAUAACCAAAGAUAUCACUGAUUUUUCUAGCGGUAGGUACCUCAUUUGGUAAUCCAUAAACGUCUUGCUAAAUAAGUAGAUCGGGUGUUGCUCUCCAUCUACCUCUCUUAGUAGCACCGAGCUAAUGAAAUGUUUAGAGAUAUUGAGGUAGACGUAGAGCAGUUCUCCCUCAUCCAGAGUGGAGAGAAGUGGUGGCUUGAUUAAGUACUCUUUCAAUUGUUGGAGUGCGAGUUCGCACUCCUCAUUCCAUUAAAAAAAUUAUAUUUUUGCGAAUGAGUUGAAAAAAUAGACGAUAUUUUGUCAAAGGACUUACUAAUUGAGUGUUUCCGCCAUUCCAAUUAGUUUCUAAAUUUCCUUCCAAGUUCGCGGGCUCACAUGGUUAUUUUUUACCACAACAUAUUUUGCAUUUACUUUGAUCCCUCGCCUAAUGACUAAGUGCCCUAAGAAUUUACCCGAACUUACUCCAAAGGCACACUUAGUUGCGUUUGAUCUCAGUUUGUCUUUUUUUAGGAUCUCAAACACAUCUGCGAAAUUCUUCAAAUGGUGUAACUCUUUUUUGCUUUUGACUACCAUGUCGUCGAUGCAGACAUCCAUGGUUUUACACAUCAGAUUUGCGAACAUUUUAGUGAUUAUUCUUCGAUAUGUGGCUCCAGCAUUUUUCAGCCCAAAAGGCAUGACCUUGUAGCAAAAAACGCCAUAGGGGUGAUAAAGACAGUCUUCUCUGAUCCAGCUCGUGCAUGACUAUUUAGUGGUAACCUCUGUAUGUGUCCAAGAAACUCAUCUGGGCAUUGCCAGAUGUUGAGUCCACUAGCUAAUCAAUUUGUGCAAGAGAAAGUAGUCAUUCGGACAAGUUCGGUUGAGACUUGUGAAAUCGAUACACACUCUCCACUUGCCAAUUUUCUUCUUUACUACCACUGUGUUUAAAAGUCAACUCGGGUAAAGAACAUAUGUGAUUACACUUGCCUUCUUUAAUUUCUCGACUUCCUCUAUCUCUGCAUCCACAUGCUCGGCUGUCGACUCUUCUUCCCUUGCUACGCCUGUUAUGGACUUCCUCGGCAUGACGUUAAGCUUGUGUUUGAUGAAUCUUGGUUCCAUGCCAGGCAUCUCAUAUGGAAGCCAAGCGAAAACCUCAAUGUUUGCUUUUAAGAACUCAAUAAUCUUGGUUCUCUCUUGUUCUUUCAUGUUCAAUCAGAAAAGAAGAAAUAGUCCGAGCUUGAAUCAUUGAGCUCAUAGAGAAUAAGGUCAUUCACGACUUUGGCCUUAGAGGUCCACCCAACAUCCUUUCCAGGAAUUCUUUCCUUUCCACCAUUUGCACCUCUUUCAACUCCGACUCAAGCGAAUAAGGUCAUUCACUAGAUUUGGCCUCAGAGUCCAACCAACAUCUUUCAGGAUCUUCCUUUCCUUUUCCACCAAUUGCACCUCUUUCAUGGCAACCUUCAUGCUGGCCAUGGUGAGGUAGCAUUGUUUGGCUAUCACUUGGUCCCCAUAAAGAGUUUUCUUAAUCCCAGGUGACAAAUUUGAUGACCUAGUGCAACGUGGAGGCAACUCCCUUCAUCUUGUAUAAUCAAUCUCUACCAAUGAUUGUGUUAUAGAGGAAAGGAAUAUUAAUAACAAUGAACUCUUUCACCAAUUCUUGGAAACUAACUCAGACUUUGAGGGUUCCGAUUCCUAAGGGUUAAUGAACUUGAGCAUUAAACCAAACUAGUGGAGCUCGGGCCGACUUUAAAUCAACCUAAGGAAGUUUAAGUUAUUUAAAUAAAUCAUAAUAACUUCAACCGAACUGCCGGUGUCCACCAAGAUUCGCUUUAUGUUGUAGUUGUGGACCCGCAACUAGAUGACCAAGGGAUCGUUGUGGGACCCACUAUAGAUUAACCUUGGUGAAUGUGAUGCUCCCUGGCUCAGACAAGCCUUGCCUUGGCUUCUUUGUCACUAGUUGGACCAAGAGAACCUUGUCUAUUUGUCUGAUGAUGCGGAUCUCCCUUGAGAUUGGGGUGGUUGGGCCCCUUAAUCAUGGAAUAGUUUCCAUAAUGAGGUCUUCCUCCAAGCAUCGUCAGCUUCUUCUAUAUCGCAAUCAAACCUUGGGUUAGGUCUGACCUCUACUUCUUUUGUCUUAGUCUUUUCCUAAUCAACAAACUCCUUUAGGUGCCCGUCCUAAACGAGUUAAUCUAGGAAAGUCUUCAAGGCUUGCGAUUUUCGAUUUUGUGCUCCUUCUCCUCGUGGAAGGCACAUUUCCACCGUUGGUUGCAUUUCUUGGGAUCUCCUCCCAUGGGGGCAUGCUUUCUAUAGUAUAACCUUCUCGAAUCGUGUACUGAGUUUGUAGAUUGGUUAUUCAAAAAUGACGUUAAUUCCCUGCCUUACUCGAUCUUCAUGGUCAAUCGUACUUUCCUUUCUCUUUUUGAACAUGCCAUCUCCUCUGGAAGAUGACUCUGAAUCUCGUUCUUUCUUGCCUAACGUCAUCUUCCAUCCCGAUGUUCAUACAUUUUCACUCGGGUCAUGAGGUCUCGGAGGUCGGUUGGAGGGUUGAGCAUCAGGUCAUCCCAAAGUUUGUAAGCCGAGAGUCAGCCCAAGCUUGAUUGAACACAAGAGCUCUUUGAGCAUUCCUCAAUUUCUUUAUAGAGCUCCCAAUACUAUUUUAUGUAAUUACAGAGCAUCUUAUUUUUUCCCUUGCAAAACGUUAGAAGAGAACUUACACCUUUCAGUGCCCUAGUGUUGAUAACAAACUGAGCAACGAAUGACUCAGAAAGUUAGAGGAAGCUCCUGAUGGACCUUGGUGAGAGCUUGUCAAACCAUUUUAGCCAGAGACCACCUAGGCUCAAAGGAAAUACCUUGCACAUGAGUGUGUCGAGGUGAUUCCAAAGUACCGUCAACUGCUUAUAAUGGUUGAUAUACGACUUCGGUCUGACUUUCCAUCGUACAUGGUGAACUUUGGGGGACUGAACUUCUCUAAAGGAUCCAUUCUCUCAAUCUCGAGUGCGAAAGGGAUUUGGUAUCUCUGGAGGAGUUAUUCUUUUGGCAUGGACUUCGUGGUCCUAGUCUCUAACCUCGUUGGGAUAAUGUUUUUUGCAGUAGUUGUUGCCCUGGAGACCAGCUUUGCUCGCAAAAAUCCACAUCCUGUCAGCCUCGUUUGACAUUAAGGGUAUGAUGAAGGUCCACGUCAGAAGUGGAUCGACCCAGUGGUACCAUUUGCCUUUCCAUAGCCAUGCUCUUACUAUCACUUUGGCUUUCGGCCUUAGUGUUGUAAGAUUCUACGUGUUUUUCCUUUGGGCCGCCUUGAGGUGCGUUUUCUUGUUGGGUCGAUCUCACCUCGGAUGGCUUUUUACUGGCCCCGGGGGCUAACUUUAAUAGAUUAUUGGCCACUAGGACUUGUUGUAGCUUUUCCAUUUGAGCUUCUAAAUGUCUUAUGGUAGUGUCUUUACUGUUUUCCAUCAAGGAGUAAUCGCCUGGACUUUGCCUAGAGGGGCCCUUGACCGCCCUCUGAGCAUCGACCAGUUGUUUAUUCCCCUCUUAGCCGUUGUUCUAGGCACUAGAGGGCUCCAUUUGGGCUUUGUUACUGUCUCUACCAUCGAUCGUGGCUUUGGAUGCCAUCGAAUCGUGUUUUGCAGAUAUCUAUGGUCGAUUUUCUAUAGAUGGCGCCAAUUGUGGGGUAGUGAGAGUACUAGAAAGGAAGAAGUCCAUAAAUAAUGUACGUCUCAUGAUAUAAAAACAUGUGGUUAAAUUCACUUCUUCAUAGCAAGAAAAAGGGCGUCAAUUCAAGAUGGUAUACAAUUCUCAUUUAUCCCAUUGUAAAAAACUUAGGAUAGCAGCCGACUUCUUCCAGUACUCGGAAGCCAAGGGUAUUGCCUUUUCCACCAACGAAAAGGAAAACGAGUAGGCGAAACUAAAGCUGCAAAAUUCUUGUCAUUCAAUAAUCCACUUGUAACGCGAUAAGCAGUAACAUUCUGAGAGAGAUAAAAUCCGGACGAGGAGUAAGCAUUACGAUGGUUGGUUCUACCUUAUCUAAUGGGAUUGGGCUAUCUGAAGAAGUCAUAUUUUACCAGAAAAGAGAAACAAAGCUACCGAAGAAAGCUUGACAAAAAAAGGUUACACCUGUAAUCAGGGGUGAAGGACCUUAAAGCAUCACAAGGAUGCAAUGGAGGCUCACACAAGGACAGACGACAACACUGAGUUUGUCACAAAAGCUCUUUUACACCAGGACAGGCUACUGGAAAGGCAAAGAAGGUUGCUAGCGGUGGUGGAGUGCCUUGGAGGGUGUGGCGAAACCUAGAGAAAGUCACCUGGGAUAGGCUAGACAGAUGAGAGGGUGGUCGGAGUGGCCUUGAGGGUGUGGUAGCAGUGAAAGGUGGUCCACUGCUAGGUUUAUAAUUUCUGGCUUUGAUAUCAAAUAGAAAAAUAAUAUAGGAAAAACUGAAUGAAUUUUAUUCUAAUGGAGUUACUUUUAUUUAUACAAGCACAAGAAAAAAAUAAUAAAAUAAGAAAAAAUUCUACUAAAUUAAUUAAGUCAAUUCUAAGAAUAAAAUCGAAAAAUUUAUUAGAAAUCUUAUCCUAAAGGCAUUACGUACAGCCACAACUAUGGCCACUUCACGAUAUGGAUGGACCGGAUUUUUGGAACUCUUCGCCAUCCUACGAUGAUGAGUCCAAGAAGAUGUGAUGUUAGUGCCUCGAUCUGGUUUCAUUUAGGCUGUGUUUGGAUCACGUCACGAUAUGGAUUGACUGGAUGUUGGGAACUAUUCGCCAUCCUAUGGACAAUGUGUCCAAGAAGAUGCGAUGUGAUUGCCUCGAUCUGGUUCAUUUAGUCUGUGUUUGGAUUUGCAAAAUGAUUUGUAGAAGGAAAAGAAUAUGCAAGGGAUUUUCCUCCACAAAGUCAAGGUGUGAUUCCCUUGCCUUUGCCUUUUCUUUUCCUUUGACAAAUCCCUCCAUAAAUUCUUGAUUCAAAUACAGCUUUGUAGCCUUUAGUGACUUGAUAUGUUAAUUUGGUAUUCCAGUUCAACUUCUUUUGGCGUGUGUUUUGCGAGUAAAUUGUGCUGUUGUAGUUUUAUCAUGUCCUUGACUAGAAAGUUGGUUUUAGCAAAGUAAAGAAAGAAGAGGGUUUUGGCACCUGGUGAGGUUUUCUUUCCCUCAUUUUUAUUGUUAAUAGAUUAAUCCUUGCUGCAACAGUCCCAUUUUCGAAUACUUUCAUUGCUCUUGGGGUCAUUGUUGGAUUCUUCCAUCCCUACGUAGGUACAGUCAGCACAGAAGAGAGCCUUUGGAAUUGUAAACUCUAUAUACCUACUAUCGCAUUAUUAUAUUGGAAUGGAAUGGAUCUGAUUCUUAUUUGCUGUUAUAAGGAUGGUAAGAAAACUGCAAUAUUCAUCAAUUGUUUACAUUAGUAACAUUGGUUAUGGGGAAAAAGUUAGCCUGGAUCAAUAUUUUGUAAGUUAUGUGUUCGCGUCGUCGUCCACCUAUAGUUUUUUUAAUUUUCUAAAUUCUAAUUAGCACACUCCAGGUUAGAAUCUUGUGUGUUUACUGACUAUUCGUCAUCAACAUUCGAAACCAAUAUCUGUGAGUUAUUUUUGAAUUCCUUGAAAAGUAAUUUGAACUUAAUAACAGAUUUUGAACAAAAUGUAAGAAGGAGAUCUCAUCUCAUUGAGCAGUUUAGUUGGCACUCUUCUCCGAUGUAGCAAGAUAAGGCUAGGGUGAAGCCAAGGCUUAGCCCAGUGUAAGGCAAGCUUACCAAGACUUCGGUCUUGGGUUCAACUUUCCCAUCAGCCCCGGGCAUAUAGCGUGGUUUGCAAAGGGCGAGAGUCCGGGAAUGCGAGCUCACUCGGAGUUUCCGCUUUCGAUUCCUGGUGUUACUUGCAUACCCGCGUUUACAUCCUGAGGUGGUGAAGGGCUAGCUCUCAUGUGGACAGAGAUUAGUCUGGUCGGCAAAAUAUUGACUUGGGUACUCUGUCAUUUAAUCAAACAAAAAAAAAAAAAGAUCGGCUAGGGCCGACUAGCCUGACCUGGAAGGAAAGCUGAAGACCUUCAUCGGGAAAUUGCAAAGGUUGAAGGCUUCCUUUGACUGUCCAACACAUUAUUCGACGAUUGAUAUGGCUUCGAAGAGUCUCGUUGGGCCUAAUGGGUCAUGACUUUGCCGGAGAAAUAGGAUAGGCGUUUGGCGGAAUUUGGCAGGCACCUGAAGACUUCCUUCAGCAUUCCACCACCCUACCCAUUGGUGGCCGCGUCCUAAUGAUUGGUCUGAAUGCACCACAAGCCCCUAAUACUAUCUUCCUCGCUGUUUUCUUUCUUCCCUGUGCUAUUGAAACCCACGAAGGUUAGGUCCCUAUCAUGUUCAAGAUGGUCAGAAAUCCACUCUGGGAAAUAUAUUUCCCGUUGUUUUGGCUCUCCAACUUUCUCUCGCCGCCAGUCAUUUCAAGACCACCAUUCCUUAGCUAUAGAACAUCAGAUUUAUGAGAGACUCCACCAAGGCUCUACAAAUACCUCUGGAGCAAUAUAAUCCAGCAGUCCCGCUUGCACCCAUCAUUGAUAUGAUGCUCUGUUUUCCUUUGACAGAGUUUAGCAAGGCCAAAAUCAGAAUCUUAGGGCAGAAAUCUUCGUCUAAAGAAUGUUUCUUAGGCUUUAUAUCAAAAUGAAACAUCUUUGGUUACACCCCCGGUGCAAGUACUGCUAGUUCCUCGGUGCGGUGCCAAACUGCAAUUUGGUACAAUGUUCUCAACUCUAGGCCACACUCAUUGUAAGGAACUUGUCCAAUGAUC
rnacentral:lncRNA from 1 species